CGUGUGGGUGGGUGUGUGUGGGAGUGGGGGUGAGGGAGAGCCAGCCCGACCGCGAGGCUGUGAGAAGGCGGGCGAGUGUGCGCCGGCGCCCGGCCUGGCUGCGGGAGCCGCGGGGGCGGAGGAGAAAGGAGGCGGCUCCCGGCAUCCCGACCCCUCCCCCCUCUCCGUCUCGGACUUCCAGCCCGCCCGGCAGCCCGCGCUGCCCUCGGAGGCCCCAGCCCGGCUCCGCUGGCCGGGAGCGAGGGAGGAGCCGCCAGAGCCAGAAAGAGUUUACAUUCAGGAGGAAAUAAUCCAGGAAAAGGAAGAACAAGCAGAUCAAGAUGUGUAGCUCUGUGGCUGCCAAGUUGUGGUUUUUGACAGAUCGUCGAAUCAGGGAAGACUAUCCCCAAAAAGAAAUCUUACGAGCAUUAAAGGCCAAAUGUUGUGAGGAGGAACUGGACUUUAGGGCUGUGGUUAUGGAUGAGGUGGUGCUGACAAUCGAACAAGGAAACCUGGGUCUACGGAUCAAUGGAGAACUAAUUACUGCCUACCCCCAGGUGGUGGUAGUGAGAGUACCAACUCCUUGGGUGCAGAGUGAUAGUGACAUCACUGUUUUGCGCCAUCUAGAGAAGAUGGGGUGCCGGUUGAUGAACCGACCUCAAGCCAUCCUGAACUGCGUUAAUAAGUUCUGGACGUUUCAAGAGUUGGCUGGCCAUGGUGUUCCUCUGCCAGAUACUUUCUCUUAUGGUGGUCAUGAAAAUUUUGCUAAAAUGAUUGAUGAAGCAGAAGUAUUGGAGUUCCCAAUGGUAGUGAAGAAUACACGGGGUCAUAGAGGCAAAGCUGUUUUCUUGGCUCGAGAUAAGCACCAUUUGGCUGAUCUAAGCCAUCUUAUUCGCCAUGAAGCUCCAUACCUGUUCCAGAAGUAUAUUAAAGAGUCUCAUGGACGGGAUGUACGUGUCAUUGUCGUGGGAGGCCGUGUAGUUGGCACCAUGUUACGUUGUUCAACAGACGGGAGGAUGCAAAGCAACUGCUCCCUAGGUGGCGUGGGGAUGAUGUGCUCAUUGAGUGAACAGGGGAAGCAGCUAGCUAUCCAGGUGUCUAAUAUCCUGGGGAUGGAUGUGUGUGGCAUUGACCUGUUGAUGAAAGAUGACGGCUCCUUCUGUGUCUGCGAGGCCAAUGCAAAUCCUUUUCAGGAGCCAAAAAAACAAAAACAAACAAACAAAAAAAUACCCAGAGAAAAAACUUUCCUUCUCCCCCUUCCUGAUGAUGAGUGAGAAGUAUUGAGAACUUUCGGGGUCAGUGCCCUUCUAAACUCCCCUUCCCCCAUAAUGCAGCUGUAUAAUGAAUGGUAAAUGCAGCGGUUUGGAUUCAGGCACAGCCCCAGCCUGCUUGCAGGUAAUUUGACUCUUCCUCUUUUCUUUCCAUCCCAAGGUUAACUUUACUUUCUUUUUUUAAAAUUUCCUUUCUUUAUGUACUUUAAAGGCAACCAUGAGUUUGUAAUAACUCUCAUUUUAAACAGUAAUGCAUAAAUAUAUGUAGCAAAUAAUUUGAUUAAAGAAGUUUUGGGGGUAAAGUUCUUAUUGAUUGGGAUGAACACAGGACUUUCUUUGGGGAUUUGCUUUAGCCAUUUAGAUGACUCCAUUCCUUGCAUAUAUGUCUAUAAUUAAGUAUUCAGAGUGUGACUUUUUUGGCUUUGUUUUUGUUUUGGGUUUGUUUGUUUCUUCCAUUGUGCUACUCUGGCUUAAGCUUUUUCAGGGGUUGGUGUUCCGAAUACACAGUGAGCUCACAGUAUAAAGACAUCAAUUAGGAGUUGACAGGUAUGGAAAACUAGAGUUUUGAAAAGGUAAAAUUAGGUUCUAGGUUAUAUAUAUGGUAAAAACUCACCAUAACAUUCACUUGACCUUAGUGCUUCUCUUUCUGUGACAUCAUUAUGGAAGUGAAAGGGAAUGGUGAGACAAAGAUAAUAGAAAGCAUUUGUUAUUUUAAGAGCAGCGUGAUUUCAGAACUAAUCAUUUUAGCAUUUCUGAGACACUAGUUCUAACAGAGAUGAGCAGUUUGAGAUUGUCAUAAAAUAAUGGUUUAAACAUUCAAAAAUUACCGGUUUGAACAGGUUGGAGGACAUCUCUGAAGCACAAGAUCAUUAAGGAGAUGAACUAAGGCCAUAAAACAAAGUUAGUGGCAGAAAAAGGAAUAUUAUGUCUAUUUUAAUUGCCUUCCUUUUAGUUAAUAUACUAUCUCCUCCUCUGUCUACACCAAUCCACCUAGCCUUUCCUCCUUUUUCCUAUCCUUCCUCAAGUUUUAGCUCUAAUAUGCGUUAUCAUUUUGAGAGAUGAUGUUCUUUCUAAUAGGUAGAAGUGUAGUGACAGUAACCAGGACCUUUUGAAGAUAUACUUCUGUAUAAUUUUAUCCUGUGGCUUUGGAUGUCCUAUCCAAAGAGGCUAUAAUCCAAUAAAUCACUAGUUAGUGAAUAGGAAAUCCUGGCUUGUAAUGCUGUUUCUAUAGCUGAAUGCAUAAAAUAAAUCAUUAACCUGUUUUGUGCUUCAGUACACUCAUAAGAUAGGAACAGUCACUCCCCUAAGCAUCUUAAGACAAAAAUAUUUAUCUGUUGAACUGAAGUUUACUAACAAAGGAACCCCAAUGCAUUCCUUCAGGAGUUUAUGAUGUCUACUAAAAAAGGCUUGUGCAGGAGAACCUUGUUCUCUUGCUGCUUAGAUUGGCCAGCAUUAGGAUAUAUGGACUGUGCGAUUUCAUGGGAUGUGGAGAAUUUAGCAGUCUCCAUUCUACUGCCCCCAUGAGGAUCACUGACUUGUUAAGAAUGAUCUUGCUUUCAGAUUUCACCAUAUUCACUUAUUAGAUGGGCCUUAUAUAGCAUAUAUACCUGGCUGCUAUUGUGGGGUUGGGGAACAUGAGGGGUGGGGUGAAUUGUUGUUGUUUUAGGUUUCAGUCAGACAGACAUCCCUGUGCCCCAGUUCCCAGAAGCACAGCAGGCCUCUAGGAGCAUCCGUGGGAACGGCGCAGUCCUGACAUCACCAACUCUUCUGCUCAGGCUCAUCCCAUAUACAGAGGUCAAAGGGUGGGGUUUGAGAUCGGGGGAAGGAAUGAGAAAGUAGAAACAAUGUCACUGCAUUGCCACUGUUGACUAGCCUUUGGUGCUUAUGUCAGUGUUUGUUUUGUUUUUUAAGUUGGCAAAACUGUACAUAUUUUUAUUUGGGGGUCAAGAUAUUGGGAUGGUGGAACAAAAACAAGCCAUUACUAUUAUUACUAGUUCAUUAUUGGAUACUGUUCUUUAGUAGCUAAUACAGGAUAAAUUUGAAACCCAAUGACAAGGAGAAUGGGAAUAGAAAUGAGUCUUAGGAUUUUGACAAGCAGAAAACAUUUAUGUGGUAUUAAUUUCCAGUUCUAUAACUGCUAUUACAUUUGUCACUCUCUCUCCCUUUUUCGCCCUAAUUCUUCCAUGUAUGUAUACAGUUUGAGGAAAUGUGCAUUUGUGGUCAGUCCUUUUAAAAGGACUUAAUAAACUUACUACUCUUUUGCAAAAAAUAUGCCUAGUGCUUAUAUGGGCAUACAAAUGCUACCCUGUUUUAAAUGUAGGUGGCGUAUGUGUUCAGAGCCAUUGGGCAAUAAGCAGUCCAGAGCAUUGAAAACUCAAGCAGGUAAAGCACCUGGCACCCUUAGUUUCUAGAGUUACUUUUAAAAACCUCCUUUAUGGCUGCAUCCUCCACAAUUCUUUUGGUAGUCUCUGAACUUAAAAUUUGCAGGAGUUGCAGACUACCUAGUUGAAAUUUUAAAUUACGCAUUUAUCCAUAAGAUUGUAGGGAUAGAUGAAGAAGGAAAGUGUAACAGAAAAGAAAUGGCUCCUUGAGAUGGCAACUGCUGAGUGUCUAAAUCUUUCCACUUUUUUUUAAAUUUUUUUUUAUUUUCUCAGCUUAGCAUGAACGUUGAUCAUACAUUGUUUGAUUUUCUGUGAUUGGGGUUUUUAUUGUUUUGACUUUUGGUGGGGAGGUCUUGGGGAAACAAUAAGGAAGUUCGUGCGCAGGUGAAAAUAUGAAAUGUUAAACGAGAAUUUUUCUGUUUAAUCUGGUGUAAUAAGCAAGAACUUUUUCUAUAUACCCUUCUGCUGCAGCAGAGAAAUAAACUGGUAGGUGGCAGCAGAAGAAGGAGUUCUUCAGAUUGAUGGCUACUGAAAAAUCUGCAUAGGCGAAGAGAUAGAGCAUAGCAUACCAAGUGAAGCAAAGGGGGCAAAAAAUGGAAACAGGACUAAGAUUUCUGGAUUUUGACUCUAAAUGGUUCUUUUGAAGUAACCAGUGAUCCUUUUUGCUUAUUACCUCACUCACAGACUGGAUGAAGAUAGAUUUGAUGGCAUGUUUUUCCAAAUGGAGGAUAGAAAUACACAGAACAAGGAAGCAGUAGCUGUGACCUGUUUGAGUCAAUGUGUUUUUUAAAAUAAAAACACAAGAAUUGGAAAUGAGAUAGCGUGGAGUGUGAUUUGUUCUCUUGGCAGCUAUUUCUACCCACUCCCUCAUCUAUGCAUUCAUUUCAAUCCAUAUAUCUAGACUUGAAGUCUAGCUCCACGUGUGUCAUUCUCUUUAUUCUUUUCUUUUUGCAAGACGAAACUCCUUUGGUUCUUGACAGACUGAUGGCUCCAUAAUAUAUUCUAAAAUGAAUAUUCCUUUUGGCACAUAUACAGGCACUAAAAUAUGUAUUACAUGGAUUUUCCCCUGCGCCUUUCAUCAUGCUUUAUCUGUCCAUGCUAAAUAAUUGUUGCUGUUUUUGUUUUAUCUCUGAAGAAAUGCAGCCUUUUUUCUGUUUCACUCUGACAAGGCUCUGGCACACGCUCGUCACAGCAUCGCUCGCUGCAUUUUAAUGUUCUUGUGGCUAGAGACCAUGUCUGAUCUUGUAUAUUUGAACUGCAGGGGUUCUGAUAUAUAUAUAUGUGUGUAUAUAGAGGCAGCCUUAGUACUUUUGACCAAAAAUGGACUUCGUAGUCAGAUAUUAAUACAAAUUCUAAUUCUAUUACUUACUGGUUACAUGGCCUUUGGACAAGUCAGCCUCUUCAAGCCAUAGGGGAGUAUUUGUAAAAAAACGGGAGUAAUUGUACCUAUGUUACUAGGUUAAUGUGUGAGGAUUAGCUAUGGUAUAAUGCAUGUAUGUGCUUAGCACAUAGUUGAGUAUUGAAUAAACAGAAACUAUGUUUUAAUUCUGUACGUUUUGGCUAUUGAUAUCUUAUGCAAGAGCUACUGAAUCUUUUCACCUCAGAAUUGGAGUCUAUAAGGUUUUCUUUCUUGAUUUCCUUUCACUUUUCCUAUUUAAGCUCCUUUCACAAGAUCUUAUGGUUGGAAUAGUAUGUGUUUUGGCAUUUCUCCUAAUCUAGAUUGAUUUUUCCUUAUCUCCACACUCCAUUGGCUAACUGAGCUAUUCUGUAUAAGAAAAAAACCUUUUAUCUCAUUUU